rnacentral:rRNA from 1 species
GAUGAACGCUGGCGGCGUGCCUAAUACAUGCAAGUCGACCCCCCCCACGAGAAGCUUGCUUCUCUGAUGUUAGCGGCGGACGGGUGAGUAACACGUGGAUAACCUACCUAUAAGACUGGGAUAACUUCGGGAAACCGGAGCUAAUACCGGAUAAUAUUUUGAACCGCAUGGUUCAAAAGUGAAAGACGGUCUUGCUGUCACUUAUAGAUGGAUCCGCGCUGCAUUAGCUAGUUGGUAAGGUAACGGCUUACCAAGGCAACGAUGCAUAGCCGACCUGAGAGGGUGAUCGGCCACACUGGAACUGAGACACGGUCCAGACUCCUACGGGAGGCAGCAGUAGGGAAUCUUCCGCAAUGGGCGAAAGCCUGACGGAGCAACGCCGCGUGAGUGAUGAAGGUCUUCGGAUCGUAAAACUCUGUUAUUAGGGAAGAACAUAUGUGUAAGUAACUGUGCACAUCUUGACGGUACCUAAUCAGAAAGCCACGGCUAACUACGUG